GAAAACAAUUUAUUGUAGCAAUAAUCAACUUGCAUACGAAGGCAAAACAAGCAUGACUUCAAAACUUUGAACACAUAGAGAGGAAACUUGAUAUUAUUGCAAUUCCUACAAGCAUAUGUUCCUCCCUCAUAAUAAUUUUCAUUAGCAUCAUGAAGGAAUUCAACAAUAUAACUAUCACAUACAAAAUUAUUUUCAUGAUGCAAAAGCAUAGAAUUUUUAUUACUCUCCCCAUAAGCAAAAUUCUUAGCAUUCAUGGUAGUGGGAACAAACUCAACAAAAUAACUAUCAUGAGAUACUUGAUUGAUAUAAUCCAUGUGAAAAAUAAAAUCAUGAUGACAAGUUUACUGAUAUAAUCCAUGGAAAAUUUAUUACUCUCCCCAUAAGCAAAUUUAUUCUCAUUCAUAAUAGCAGGAGAAAACUCAACAAAAUAAUUAUCAUGUGAUACUUGAG
rnacentral:lncRNA from 1 species